UUCGGUUUAAUUCGAUGCAAAGCAAAGAACCUUAUUAGGGUUUGACAUGUCGCGAAUCCUCUUGAAAGAAAGGGGUGCCUUCGGGAAUACAGACAUAGGUGGUGCAUGGUUGUCUUCAGCUCAUGCCGUAAGGUGUUGGUUAAGUCUCAUAACGAGUGCAACCCUCAUGUUUAGUUGCCACCGUUGAGUUUGGAACUUUGAGCAAACUGUUGGUGAUAAGUUAGAGGAAGGUGAAGAUGAUAUCAAGUCAUCAUGCCCCUUAUGCUUUGGGCGACACGUGCUACAAUAGAACGGACAAAGGGUUACGAUCCCCCGAAGGUGAGCUAACUCUAAAAACCCGUACUUAGUUCAGAAUGCUUAUAAUUAUUUUAUUAGAU
rfam:Gossypium arboreum cultivar AKA8401 contig_107_1, whole genome shotgun sequence.